AACGCGAAGAACCUUACCCGGGUUGACAUGCAAGGAUUAACUCCUGGAACAGGAGCCAGGCCCGCAAGGGUACAACUUGCACAGGUGCUGCAUGGCUGUCGUCAGCUCGUGCUGUGAAGUGUCGGGUUAAGUCCUACAACGAGCGAAACCCCUGUCGUCAGUUGCUAACAGGUUAAGCUGAGGACUCUGACGAGACUGCCGGCGUCAAGCCGGAGGAAGGUGGGGAUGACGUCAAGUCAUCAUGGCCUUUAUGCCCGGGGCUACACACGUGCUACAAUGCCCGGUACAAACCGACGCCAAGCCGCAAGGCGGAGCCAAUCGGAAAAAACCGGGCCCAGUUCGGAUUGUGGGCUGCAAUUCGCCCACAUGAAGCCGGAAUCGCUAGUAAUCGCGGAUCAGCGAUGCCGCGGUGAAUGUGUUCCCGGGCCUUGUACACACCGCUACAGU
rnacentral:rRNA from 1 species